GAGAGGAGGCGGGCAGGCGAGGCGCCGGGUCUGCAGAGCGCGUGGCUGGACGGUAUCAUGAAGGGGAGCGCCUCUGGAACAAGUUGGAAUGGAGAAGCACAAAAUCAAGAAGCUGAUGCAAGCGGUCAUUAAACGCACUGGAUGUUUUGGGGAUCACACUCUGAGAGGAAAUCGGCAAUGUGCAGACAUAUAACUCCAGUUAUUGAGCAGGGACUUCAGAAUCUGUAACACACUGCACUUUUUAAAGUUGACUCUUCAUCUCGUAUAAAUGGUGGCAUUUUCCUUUGCUCUCUGGAAAUUCCAUUUAUGCCUUCUGCACUGUCGUGUAUUAUCUGCCAUUGCUUCAG